AUUGAACGCUGGCGGCAGGCCUAACACAUGCAAGUCGAGCGGAUGAAGGGAGCUUGCUCCUGGAUUCAGCGGCGGACGGGUGAGUAAUGCCUAGGAAUCUGCCUGGUAGUGGGGGAUAACGUCCGGAAACGGGCGCUAAUACCGCAUACGUCCUGAAGGAGAAAGUGGGGGAUCUUCGGACCUCACGCUAUCAGAUGAGCCUAGGUCGGAUUAGCUAGUUGGUGGGGUAAAGGCCUACCAAGGCGACGAUCCGUAACUGGUCUGAGAGGAUGAUCAGUCACACUGGAACUGAGACACGGUCCAGACUCCUACGGGAGGCAGCAGUGGGGAAUAUUGGACAAUGGGCGAAAGCCUGAUCCAGCCAUGCCGCGUGUGUGAAGAAGGUCUUCGGAUUGUAAGGCACUUUAAGUUGGGAGGAAGGGCAGUAAGUUAAUACCUUGCUGUUUUGACGUUACCAACAGAAUAAGCACCGGCUAACUUCGUG
rnacentral:rRNA from 1 species